CCCCGCCCCCGGCCCCGCGCCCUCCUGGCGGCCGCGCGAUGCUGUGCUUCCUGAGGGGAAUGGCCUUCGUGCCCUUCCUCCUGGUGACCUGGUCGUCCGCCGCCUUCAUCAUCUCCUACGUGGUCGCGGUGCUGUCGGGGCACGUGAACCCCUUCCUGCCGUACAUCAGUGAUACGGGAACAACACCUCCAGAGAGUGGGAUUUUUGGAUUUAUGAUAAACUUCUCUGCAUUUCUUGGUGCAGCCACGAUGUACACGAGAUAUAAAAUAGUGGAGAAGCAAAAUCAAACCAGCUAUUUCAGCACUCCUGUUUUUAACUUGGUGUCGCUAGUGCUUGGCUUGGUGGGCUGUAUCGGAAUGGGCAUCGUGGCCAAUUUCCAGGGAGGGGUGUGUGUGUGCAGAGCGAGAGAGGGAAUCCCAAGCAGGCUCCACGCUCAGCCCAGAGCUCCAGGCAGGGCUCCCUCCCGUGACCCUGAGGUCAGGACCCGAGCUGAAAUGAAGAGUCGGACACUUUACCAAUGGAGCCACCCAGGCGUCCCACGAGGAGCUGGCUGUCCCGGUGGUGCACGACGGCGGCGCCCUCCUGGCCUUUGUCUGUGGUGUGGGCUACACGCUCCUGCAGUCCAUCAUCUCUUACAAAUCGUGUCCCCAGUGGAACAGCAUGUCCACAUGCCAUGUGCGGAUGGCCAUCUCCACUGUGUCCUGUGCGGCCGUCAUCCCCAUGAUCGCCUGUGCUUCACUGAUUUCUAUAACCAAGCUGGAGUGGAAUCCGAAAGAAAAGGAUUAUGUGUAUCAUGUGGUGAGUGCGAUCUGUGAGUGGACAGUGGCCUUUGGUUUUAUAUUCUACUUCCUAACAUUCAUCCACGAUUUCCAGGGUGUCACCCUCAGGAUAUCCACAGAGAUCAAUGACGACAUUUGAAGAAAGAAGAAUCCUAUGUCAGUCAGUGAGCGUCGCAGACAAUUUCUGGAAGUGGUAGGGAGGACAGACAGGGUGUUAAUGUCGCCUGAGUGGAAUGUACCUGAGGUACAUCCAGGACUUGAAUUUCUUUAAGGAUUCCCAAUAGUUGUACUAUUUCCAAAGGUAUGUUUUCCUAGAGAAUGCAUUUAUGACAUUGUAGCAAUGUUUUUAUAAUUUUCUAAGUAGACACUUUUUUUACCUUUAACAAAUUCAUUACAGAAGAGAUAAGGUGUUACAGAAAACGGAGAGCUCUUAUUUUUGCACAGAUUCUGUCUUGUGUUUUCUUUGUGUGUGAGUGAUUCACGGGAAUACACUGAGGGGUUCACUAACAAGUCAAAUCAGGGCAUAUCUGUUUUUUACAUUUUAUUUUUAGAAAAUGGACCAUCUCAUUUUAUACCAUGAGAACAUUUAUGAAGCUUGAUUUUUAAUGAUUGUAAAGAUUUAGUUCACAAAUCAACACUAACAAGGAUACUCUGAUUUUUAAGCGGACUCAGCACGGUGCUUCUACCGAAAUGCCUUUGUCUCCGGUUCUCUGUACACACCGGCUCUAAGCGAACCAGAAGACCUCAGGUUCUAGACUCGGGCCCGCGGGCCUCCCUGCUAAGGAGCCGCAACUGUUGCCCCGGCUACCAGGGGCCCCUCCGCAGUGGGCCAG